AAGCAGCAGUCUUCGGUUCUUCUCCUCUGGGAAGGGUGUUGAACCAGCAAGAGAAAUACAGUCAAUGCCUUACCAGUGCAAAUAGCAGUCACCAAAGGUAAGCAUCCUUCCAGAGAGCUGCAGAUUUCUUCAAAGCCCUGUGGGAGAAGUAAAUGAAGUCAUCAGCAGGCGAGAUUGUAAUGUAAAAGGGGCUUCUCCAUGAAAUUUACUCCUCUGCCCUGUUCAGGGCAAUGCUAUCAGUUCCAGCUAUAUCUGAGAAAUGCCGUUCUCUGUUCACCAGUGGAGAGGGGUCAGAUACACCAAAUUGCUUUUAGCAGCCCAGCCUGAUUCAGAGGUUUAUGUCCCACUGGACCCUGAGGUAUCUACAUUUGCAACACUGGACCAGAUGAUUCCACAGUCUCUCCCACCACGUUUUAAAGGACUAACAUGAAAGAAAGGAUGAGGGAACCCUUUGCACAGCUAAAAGAUCUCUUUUCUCCUCUGACAAUCCCAGAUAUACCUUAGAUAAAAAGGAUGGGAAAAGCCCCUCCCCUGAAUAUUCCAAAGGGAUUGGCUUUCCAAGUGUCAUCGUUUUCUCUUUCUUUGUUGUGUGUCCACAUAACUGACCCAUUGGUGAAGUAUUGCCAGAUACGAUUUGGAAAUUGCAUCAGAGACUGGGUUUCAUUUUGAUUAUUUUGUAACUUUGGCUCUACAGAGACAGGUAUUUAUGUUCUA